CUUGCUGCUUCAAACUUGAACUCCGCGCCCAACCUCAUGGUAAAUGUCUGUCCAGACUACAUCUGGGGAGGUUGUGACCACUGGACUCUGCGCCCAACCUCAUGAUCCACAGCUGUUCCUGCUCAGUGGGUGGAGAGCCAGCCCCGCCACUUACGGAGAGGAGAGAAUUUAGGUGCCACUGAUUUCUGCCAGCGGGAGGACAGGAUGUCUACAUCCCAUUGAAGGACAUGCCCAGAUCCUUCCUGGCCACGCGUGCCCCUGGAAGUACAACUCCUGCUACACCUCCCUCCCUCCUGA